ensembl:lncRNA
CGUGCCCACGCUUUUCGUGGUGUGUAACGUCCCCAUCGCGAGGGCUCGGUACCACGCCAGUCUCGGCAACGGAGACAGGGCGGUAACAGGUGAUGCACAACCACCUGUGUGAAGCCGCUGGGCGGCCCUCCCGGGCUCUCUCAGGGUACUCCCCAUGGUAGACCCAGCUCCCCCGGGGGGUCCGUUCCUCGGCUUCCUCCUCGAGGCACGGGGACGCCUAACCUUACAACCCCGCACGAUGCGGGUAGGGAGCCUGGCUUGAUGGGGCAUAUGCUCAAGCGGCGGCUCCGAGCCCCGUGGCCCGCCCCACGCCGCCGCGGGUGGCAGGGGAGGUACCGCUGGCUCCGAGGCGGAGCUUUGCUCCGCUCCACCGCGCCGCGCCCGGCCCGCACCUCUCCGCUCCGCCGCGGCCCCGUUCGUUCCGGAUCCGCGGCCCCGGCGCGGCGGUGUUGCCGCGCUCCCCGCCGCGGCUCUGGGUGCCUUCUGCCUCCCAGCAUGAAUGUGAGGAGGGUGGAGAGCAUCUCGGCGCAGCUGGAGGAGGCCAGCUCCACAGGCGAAGGGGUAAGUGGAAGGACUUGGUGCUGUUCAUUGCUCCAGUAA